GGUGAGCCCACGUCCCCGUUUCUCUCAAUUUCCCUUCUUUGGACAUGCUUUGUUGACGAGCUAUCAAUCCUGCUACCGUUCAGAAUGUACUCCGUAAAUAAUAUAAAGAAGCCAUAUAUACACCAAUGGAUGAGCCCAUGACCUUGGAUGAUGGCGAGGAUAGCACCCUGAUUUGCCUGAAAUGGAUGAAGGAUCAAAAACCUCGUGUGUGAUUCCAGCUAUGAAACUUUUGUAAAAAAAAAAAUCAUGAUAUCCGAUUCUCAACGUGUUCUCUGGAAAUCAUGGCGAGAAUGCUGAAUGCUGAAAAUAAAAAUAGCUAAAUGCUCAUGUAGCAUUGAUUUCGCGUGCAUAUUUCUGCGUUGAUUCCUAUCUGAAUCCGGAUUUGAUCUGUUUACAUCGGUUCUAUCUCCAAUGUCGAUCUGCAGGUUCAUCACGGUGGAGCCGGCACGACAGCCACGGGACUGAGGGCUGGGGUAGUCCAUCUUAUUACCUGAGUUGAAAUCGAAUUAUUGCAUCAGGAUCUGGUUCAUUUCAUACCUUGCUAACUCGCCGCUCGGUGAUGCUGCCAGUGCCCCACGGCGGUGGUGCCGUUCUUCGGGGAUCAGUUCCUCUGGGCCGAGAAGAUCCACGAGAAGGGCCUGGGACCCCCUCCGAUCCCCAUCUCCCAGCUCAGUGUGGAAAACCUU
rnacentral:lncRNA from 1 species